rnacentral:rRNA from 1 species
GACGAACGCUGGCGGCGUGCUUAACACAUGCAAGUCGAACGGAAAGGCCCUGCUUUUGUGGGGUGCUCGAGUGGCGAACGGGUGAGUAACACGUGAGUAACCUGCCCUUGACUUUGGGAUAACUUCAGGAAACUGGGGCUAAUACCGGAUAGGAGCUCCUGCUGCAUGGUGGGGGUUGGAAAGUUUCGGCGGUUGGGGAUGGACUCGCGGCUUAUCAGCUUGUUGGUGGGGUAGUGGCUUACCAAGGCUUUGACGGGUAGCCGGCCUGAGAGGGUGACCGGCCACAUUGGGACUGAGAUACGGCCCAGACUCCUACGGGAGGCAGCAGUGGGAAAUAUUGCACAAUGGUCGGAAGCCUGAUGCAGCAACGCCGCGUGCGGGAUGACGGCCUUCGGGUUGUAAACCGCUUUCGCCUAUUACGAAGCGUGAGUGACGGUAAUGAGUAAAGAAGCACCGGCUAACUACGUG